CCUACGGGUGGCAGCAGUGAGGAAUAUUGGUCAAUGGACGAGAGUCUGAACCAGCCAAGUAGCGUGAAGGAUGACUGCCCUAUGGGUUGUAAACUUCUUUUAUAUGGGAAUAAAACGUUCCACGUGUGGGAUUUUGUAUGUACCAUAUGAAUAAGGAUCGGCUAACUCCGUGCCAGCAGCCGCGGUAAUACGGAGGAUCCGAGCGUUAUCAGGAUUUAUUGGGUGUAAAGGGAGCGUAGGUGGAUUGUUAAGUCAGUUGUGAAAGUUUGCGGCUCAACCGUAAAAUUGCAGUUGAAACUGGCAGUCUUGAGUACAGUAGAGGUGGGCGGAAUUCGUGGUGUAGCGGUGAAAUGCUUAGAUAUCACGAAGAACUCCGAUUGCGAAGGCAGUUCACUGGACUGCAACUGACAGUGAGGCUCGAAAGUGUGGGUAUCAAACAGGAUUAGAUACCCGGGUAGUC
rnacentral:rRNA from 1 species